rnacentral:rRNA from 1 species
CCAUNGAAACUGGCGAACUUGAGUACAGUAGAGGUAGGCGGAAUUCGUGGUGUAGCGGUGAAAUGCUUAGAUNUCACGAAGAACUCCGAUUGCGAANGCAGCUUGCUGGACUGUAACUGACGCUGAGGCACGAGAGCGUGGGGAUCAAACAGGAUUAGAUACCCUGGUAGNCCACGCCNUAANCGAUGAAUGCUAGCUGUUAGCGAUAUACUGUUAGCGGCACAGAGAAAUCGUUAAGCAUUCCACCUGGGGAGUACGCCGGCAACGGUGAAACUCAAAGGAAUUGACGGGGGCCCGCACAAGCGGAGGAACAUGUGGUUUAAUUCGAUGAUACGCGAGGAACCUUACCUGGGCUUAAAUUGCAGUGGAAUAACGUGGAAACAUGUUAGCCUUCGGGCCGCUGUGAAGGUGCUGCAUGGUUGUCGUCAGCUCGUGCCGUGAGGUGUCGGCUUAAGUGCCAUAACGAGCGCAACCCUCAUCGAUAGUUACUAACAGAUUAAGCUGAGGACUCUAUCGAGACUGCCGACGUAAGUCGUGAGGAAGGUGGGGAUGACGUCAAAUCAGCACGGCCCUUACGUCCAGGGCUACACACGUGUUACAAUGGGGGGUACAAAGGGCAGCUACCUGGCGACAGGAUGCUAAUCUCAAAAACCUCUCUCAGUUCGGAUUGGAGUCUGCAACCCGACUCCAUGAAGCUGGAUUCGCUAGUAAUCGCGCAUCAGCCACGGCGCGGUGAAUACGUUCCCGGGCCUUGUACACACCGCCCGUCAAGCCAUGGGAGCCGGGGGGACCUGAAGUAUGCAACCGUAAGGAGCGUCCUAGGGUAAAACUGGUGACUGGGGCU